rnacentral:rRNA from 1 species
AGAGAGAGACAUGCGCGCAUAUCAAUAAGCGGAGGAAAAGGCUGCGGAACUGAGCGACCGCUACCUGCGCUUAGGAUGUUGACGAGACUGUCGAUCUCAUCUAUAAGCAUAGGACAUCUGUGGCAUAUCAAUAAGCGGAGGAAAAGAAACUAACAAGGAUUCCCCUAGUAACGGCGAGUGAAGCGGGAAGAGCUCAAAUUUGAAAUCUUAAAGGGUUUCCCUUUACGAAUUGUAGUUUAAAGAAGUGUUUUCUGUUGAGGUUUUGGUAAAAGUUCCUUUCGGAAUAGGACAUCAUAGAGGGUGAGAAUCCCGUAUUUGACCUUUACUUUCAACUUUGUGAUACACUUUCAAAGAGUCGGAUUGUUUGGGAAUGCAGUCCAAAAUGGGUGGUAAAUUUCAUCUAAAGCUAAAUAUUGGCGAGAGACCGAUAGCGAACAAGUACCGUGAGGGAAAGAUGAAAAGAACUUUGAAAAGAGAGUUAAACAGUACGUGAAAUUGUCAAAAGGGAAGCGUUUGACACCAGUGUUGUUUUUCUGAAAAUCAAUUAAAGAACUGUUUAUGCUAAGUUGUUUAGACUUUAUCAGCUAACUGUUUAGUUUUGAGCUUUUCUUUAAUGCACUUUUCAGUUAACAAGUCAACAUCAAUUUCUUUUGCUGUAAAAAAGCUUGAGGAAGGUGGCUUGAGAUUCGUCUUAAGUGUUUAUAGCCUCUUGCCUAUGCAGUCGGAGAGAUUGAGGUCUGCAGCGUAGAUCCUUCGGGGCUAAAUGCAUUUGUGCUAAGUUAUAGCAUUUUAUAGACAACUUGUUGACUAUGAUUUGUCUUGUAGCUUACUCGCUUAUGUUAUUUUACCUACGCUUAGGAUGUUGAGCGCAUGUCUCUCUCU